rnacentral:rRNA from 1 species
UACGUAGGGUGCAAGCGUUAAUCGGAAUUACUGGGCGUAAAGCGUGCGCAGGCGGUUUUGUAAGUCUGACGUGAAAUCCCCGGGCUUAACCUGGGAAUUGCGUUGGAGACUGCAAGGCUGGGGUCUGGCAGAGGGGGGUAGAAUUCCACGUGUAGCAGUGAAAUGCGUAGAGAUGUGGAGGAACACCGAUGGCGAAGGCAGCCCCCUGGGUCAAGACUGACGCUCGAUGCACGAAAGCGUGGGGAGCAAACAGG